rnacentral:tRNA from 2 species
UGCUGAGGUAGUCUAGCGGUAGGGCGCGGGCCUGGAAAGCCCGUGAGGCGAAAGUCUCUCGGGAGUUCAAAUCUCCCCCUCAGCGU